AUGCAGAAGACGGAGUCAGUUCCACCUUUUAAGCAGCUGAUGCUCAUUUCUGUGGCAGUGAUGCUUCAGAGACCAUGCCACAGCCAUCAGCUUAUAGAUAAAUAUCAUCAAAAUUAAACACUUUCUUCCACCUUGG
rnacentral:lncRNA from 1 species